rnacentral:rRNA from 1 species
AAGUCGUAACAAGGUUUCCGUAGGUGAACCUGCGGAAGGAUCAUUACUGAAUUGUCAAACGGGUUGUUGCUGGCCCUCAUAGGGGGCAUGUGCACGCUCUGUUUACACAUCCACUCACACCUGUGCACCCUCUGUAGUUCUAUGGUCUGGGGGACCCUGUCUUCCUUCUGUGGUUCUACUUCUUUACACACACACUGUAAUAAAGUUUUAUGGAAUGUACAUCGCGUCUAACGCAAUACAAUACAACUUUCAGCAACGGAUCUCUUGGCUCUCGCAUCGAUGAAGAACGCAGCGAAAUGCGAUAAGUAAUGUGAAUUGCAGAAUUCAGUGAAUCAUCGAAUCUUUGAACGCACCUUGCGCCCCUUGGCUAUUCCGAGGGGCAUGCCUGUUUGAGUAUCAUGAACACNUCAACUCUCAUGGUUUGCCAUGAUGAGUUGGACUCUGGGGGUUUUGCUGGCCUGUGGUCGGCUCCUCUUAAAUUAAUCAGCCUCCCAGUGUUUGGUGGCAUCACGGGUGUGAUAAAUAUCUACGCUCGCUGUUGUCUGCCAGGUAACCUUUGGUAACAAAGGUUUGCUGGAGCUCACAGAUGUCUCUCCUCAGCGAGGACAACUUUUUUAACGUUCGAUCUCAAAUCAGGUAGGACUACCCGCUGAACUUAA